rnacentral:rRNA from 1 species
AACGGCGAGUGAACCGGGAAGAGCUCAAAUUUGAAAUCUGGCGUCCUCAGGGCGUCCGAGUUGUAAUCUAUAGAGGCGUUUUCCGUGCCGGACCGUGUCCAAGUUCCUUGGAACAGGAUAUCAAAGAGGGUGACAAUCCCGUACUUGACACGACGACCGGUGCUCUGUGAUACGUCUUCUACGAGUCGAGUUGUUUGGGAAUGCAGCUCAAAAUGGGUGGUGAGUUCCAUCUAAAGCUAAAUAUUGGCGAGAGACCGAUAGCGAACAAGUACCGUGAGGGAAAGAUGAAAAGCACUUUGGAAAGAGAGUUAAACAGUACGUGAAAUUGUUGAAAGGGAAACGAUUGAAGUCAGUCGUGACCGAGAGGCUCAGCCGGCUCUGCCGGUGUAUUCCCCUCGGUCGGGUCAACAUCAGUUUUGUCCGGUGGAUAAGGGCGGUAGGAAGGUGGCACCCUCGGGUGUGUUAUAGCCUGCCGUCGCAUACAUCGGGUGAGACUGAGGAACGCAGCUCGCCUUUAUGGCCGGGGUUCGCCCACGUCCGAGCUUAGGAUGUUGACAUAAUGGCUUUAAACGACCCGUCUUGAAA